rnacentral:rRNA from 1 species
UACGAAGGGAGCUAGCGUUGUUCGGAAUCACUGGGCGUAAAGCGCACGUAGGCGGAUGUGUCAGUCAGGGGUGAAAUCCCGGAGCUCAACUCCAGAACUGCCUUUGAUACUGGCGAUCUUGAGUCCGGGAGAGGUGAGUGGAACUGCGAGUGUAGAGGUGAAAUUCGUAGAUAUUCGCAAGAACACCAGUGGCGAAGGCGGCUCACUGGCCCGGUACUGACGCUGAGGUGCGAAAGCGUGGGGAGCAAACAGG